UUGUUAAAAAAGAGUAAAAAACUCAUUAAAUGAGAAUAGUUGGUCACCUUAAUUAUCUACAUAAUUUUUUGGUAGAUUUUAAAGUUCUUGCUAAAGAUGGUUUUAUCUAUGAAAAUAUUGAAAUUAAAAUCAAUCUUGCUGUUAUCAUAUGUGAUGGACCAGCUAGAGCAUUUGUAAAGUGUAUUAAAGGACACAAUGGUUAUAACUGAUGUGAAUGUUGUGUUUUGAAAGGAGAGUGGUGUGUUCAUAUUGAAACAAGAUAUUGUGUAAAGAGGUUUUCAAAGAAGUCGUUUUAACAACAAUGGAAAAGCUUCCAAUUCCUGAGAUAACCGUGAAAGCAUUCGAUACAUGAUUAAAGAAUCGUUUAAAAGUUUGCUUAAUUUCGACAGUGUAAUUUUAAUUACUAUUUUUUUGAAAUAAACCAAUCAAUU
rnacentral:lncRNA from 1 species